rnacentral:rRNA from 1 species
AUUGAACGCUGGCGGCAGGCCUACCACAUGCACGUCGAGCGAGCGGCGGACGGGUGAGUAAUGUCUGGGAAACUGCCUGCUGGAGGGGGAUAACUACUGGAAACGGUAGCUAAUACCGCAUACCAUCAGAUGUGCCCAGAUGGGAUUAGCUAGUAGGUGGGGUAACGGCUCACCUAGGCGACGAUCCCUAGCUGGUCUGAGAGGAUGACAAGCCACACUGGAACUGAGACACGGUCCAGACUCCUACGGGAGGCAGCAGUGGGGAAUAUUGCACAAUGGGCGCAAGACUGAUGCAGCCAUGCCGCGUGUGUGAAGAAGGCCGUCGGGUUGUAAAGCACGUUCAGCGGGGAGGCGUUACCCGCAGAAGAAGCACCGGCUAACUCCGUGCCAGCAGCCGCGGUAAUUC